GAUUGAACGCUGGCGGCAGGCCUAACACAUGCAAGUCGAGCGGUAACAGGAGAAAGCUUGCUUUCUUGCUGACGAGCGGCGGACGGGUGAGUAAUGUAUGGGGAUCUGCCCGAUAGAGGGGGAUAACUACUGGAAACGGUGGCUAAUACCGCAUAAUGUCUACGGACCAAAGCAGGGGCUCUUCGGACCUUGCACUAUCGGAUGAACCCAUAUGGGAUUAGCUAGUAGGUGGGGUAAAGGCUCACCUAGGCGACGAUCUCUAGCUGGUCUGAGAGGAUGAUCAGCCACACUGGGACUGAGACACGGCCCAGACUCCUACGGGAGGCAGCAGUGGGGAAUAUUGCACAAUGGGCGCAAGCCUGAUGCAGCCAUGCCGCGUGUAUGAAGAAGGCCUUAGGGUUGUAAAGUACUUUCAGCGGGGAGGAAGGUGAUAAGGUUAAUACCCUUAUCAAUUGACGUUACCCGCAGAAGAAGCACCGGCUAACUCCGU
rnacentral:rRNA from 1 species